rnacentral:tmRNA from 1 species
GGGGGUGAACUGGUUUCGACGGGUUUAGCGGGGGGUUGUUGGCGUGCCGGGGUUGUCUGGGUCCCCGUUAACAAACCGGGCAAACCAUCAAAUGGCGAAUAUAAUUACGCCAUGGCUGCCUAACUAAAGGCCAGCCCGUCGUACCUGACCUUCGCCUUCGGGGUUGGGAUACGGCGUCGAUAACAGAAGGCUCGGCUCUCUGACGCCUUUAAUGAGAGCUUAAAUAAAAAGGCUGGCCUUGCCAGUGGCCUGUUAGCCGGCAGCUGUCAGGGCGAGAAAUAAAAGACUGACUACGCACGUAGAAGACGGCUUGACGUUAAAUUCGGACGGGGGUUCGAUUCCCCCCACCUCCACCA